UGAACUCUUAGUGAAAGAUUCAUUUGGUUCUCUUUACCUAUAGUUAUAUACAAUGUACUUGUUCAAAAGUUUUAUUUGGUUGUUGAUUUUCUUUUUGGUAAGUUUAUGAACUCUUAGUGAAAGAUUCAUUUGGUUUUCUUUGGCUAUAGUUAUAUACAAUGUACUUGUUCAAUAGUUUUAUUUGGUUGUUGAUUUACUUUUUGAGUUUUUUGCUUCCCUGUUAUUUUGUAUGUGAUAUCUUUUUGUUGACCUUAACGAAGACCCAUGAUGUUAAGUUCCCGCUUGCAACAAUGGUUUUGUGAUGAUUUAUCAUUGAUCACUCAUUUCAUGCUUAUUGAAAUAAAUCACUUAUAUUAUUAGUGGUGGUUAAGACCCAGGAUAUCAUGUUAGGCAAGAAAAAAUGGUGAUAUGAUGAUUUAUCAUUUACUGCUCAUGCAUGUUAAGAUGUUAUGUCUGUUAACUGGUAACCUGCAUAUUUUUUGUUUUGAAUUUAUAUGUAAAAAGAAAAAAGAAUUUUUCUUGAUUGCUUCAAAACUCCUUUGGCGUCUACAGGUCUGGACUUUAAGAAUGAUUGUAGUUUUCUUGAAAUGAUUAAAACUGCUAAUGUGCUUCGUUGCUUUUGAGUAAUGUCAGGACAUGUUCAUGAUCUGUAGAAAGUUGUUUUUUAUUUAACAAUUAAAUGUCUCAAAAUGCAAAAUGAAUUUAGAAUUUUUUCUGACGUGUUAUUGUUGCAUUCUCCAGAACUUGUACAAUUUUAUGUAUUUUUGUUUGGUAAUAAAAGUUAAUUGACAGAGCAUAGAAUAAAAGGAGUAUAAAAUCUAAAACCAGAAAAACAUUAACUGUAGGCAGACAAUACGUCAUGAAAUAAGCUACACUUUGAGGGUAAGCAAGUUUAAGAACACAGCAAAACAGAAUGGAAACCAAGGGUUUAGGGUUGUCAGACCUUAAACCAGCUAAAUAAUGAUCAACUGAGACCUAUUUAAACUCUUCUAGCAUAAGCUAAAAUGACUGUUUUGUCCCAUCCAUAAACACCAUGUGUCAAGUCCUAAUUUCACAGAAACCAGCUUUCUAAAGAUUAGGGUAAAUUUGGCAGACUAUCAGACAAUUUAAAUGUUAGAAUACUCAAACUUCAAAGAAAAUAGUUUUGACAUUUUAAUUGUUUUUCUAACAACUCUCUGUUCUCUUGGAACAGACAUAAAAAGAAAAGCUGUCUGCAAGUUUUAACAACUGUCUGUUCUCUUGGAACAAACACAUGACAUAAAAAGAGAAGCUGUCUGCAAGUUCUUUGUGUCUAAAAUAGUAUUUAAGAUUGAAACGUUGGCUUUUAUUAUCUUUAUGUGUCUCAAAAUGCUUUCUAUGCUGAUGUAGAGGAAUUUUAUCUGACAACAAAUUUAGUGGAAAAUCCUGCUCAUUUGACUUUUAUUCCUUGAUUUAUUGUAAUUAAAAUGAGUCUCAUUCUCUAAUUUCUUAUUGGGGUGAUUUUACCAACAGAACGGAGAAAUUUCAUUGUUGCUAGAAAAACACGUAAUAAUAGAAAAGUGAUUAUUCUAUUCUUUGUGACGCAUGCAUGUUUUGCUUUGGUUAAUGAUUAGGUUUGUUUGGAUUUUUAUUGAUGCUCAAGAUGUUGUCAAAUUCUAAUACCAAACAAGUGACUGAAAAUUGCAGAAGCCCUAUAUCCUUUCUUAGAACUGGUUUAAUCUUUUAACUUAGUGUUGCAUUUUCAUGGGCUUUUUUUUCUGGUUGUGAUGCAGGAGAAUUUUUUCCGAAGUGCAACCUUAUAUUAACGGAUAUAAUUUUCGAUCUGAUUGUUGGAUUCAACUAAAAUUUUGCUAGAAGAUUCUAUAGGCCUUAUUUGCUAUUGGUUUGAAAAUUUUGUAGCCACCUAAGUUCAGGAAGACUUUCAAAUAAGGCUUAAAAGUUAUUAUUUAGGAUUUACCAUAUUUUCCUAGUUAAUUUAGGAUUAUUUUUUCUAUUUUAUUUAGAACUCUUUUAUUAUUUUUUGGCAUUGUUUAGUAUAUAAACAGCUUAAAAGUGCUGUAAUAUUGAGUGUUGAUUAAAAAAUUAUUGAGUAAUAAAACUUCAAGUUGAGGUUCUUGUGUAAAAACCCUAUUCAGCUUUAAUUCUAUUCUUAUUUUUGCUUGUCUUCUUGUUUGUGUUUUCGUCUGCGUCAGGUUGUCGCUUUACUGAUGAUUUAAACUGCUGCAGGUACAAGUUAUUGUUAACCAGCUUGAAGCAAUGACAGUCCACAUACCAUUAUAUCAUUUGUUUUGGGGGUAGAGAGGUUUGUCUUCAAUGAACUAACAAGUCAUGAUGUGAUGAUACAUGUCAUAUCAAACUGCCUGAUUAUGGUUUGAUCAUCAAGCACUCAUCAUUUCAUGAAACCCAUAGGCUUCAUAGCAAUAUGAUUUUUGUCUCUAAUGAUGUUGUUGCAUUUGUGUCUCUGUUAACAAUAUAUUCACCAAAGGAUGGCUGUAAACUAUAAUGAUUUUAUACAGAAAAAAAAUAA